GAGUUUGAUCCUGGCUCACGACGAACGCUGGCGGCGUGCUUAACACAUGCAAGUCGAACGGAGAUUAACGUACCAGUUUACUGAGACUUUAAUCUUAGUGGCGGACGGGUGAGUAAUGCGUGGGUAACCUGCCCCAAAGGCCGGGAUAACAGUUGGAAACGGCUGCUAAUACCGGAUAACCUCGAGGGAAGGCAUCUUCUUUCGAGGAAAGGUGGCCUCUGAAUAUGCUACCAUUUUGGGAUGGACCCGCGUCUGAUUAGCUAGUUGGUAGGGUAGUGGCCUACCAAGGCCACGAUCAGUAGCCGGCCUGACAGGGUGACCGGCCACACUGGGACUGACACACGGCCCAGACUCCUACGGGAGGCAGCAGUGGGGAAUCUUCCGCAAUGGGCGAAAGCCUGACGGACCAACGCCGCGUGAAUGAAGAAGGCCUUCGGGUCGUAAAGUUCUGUCAUUUGGGAAGAAGUCUUUUCAUGUAAACAAUGUGAAAAGGUGACCGUACCAAAGGAGGAAGCUCCGGCUAACUACGUGCCAGCAGCCGCGGUAACACGUAAGGAGCGAGCGUUGUCCGCGAAUUACUGGGCGCAAACGGCCCGUAGGCCGGAAAUUAAUUCAGGUGUGAAACCUCCGAGCUCAACUUGGAGAUUGCACUUGAAACUGGUAUUCUUGAGGGCAGGAGAGGAAAGGGGAAUUCCUACUGUAGCGGUGAAAUGCGUAGAUAUUAGGAGGAACACCAGUGGCCAAGGCGACUUUCUGGACUGCACCUGACGCUGAUGCGCGAAAGCGUGGGUAGCGAACGGGAUUAGAUACCCCGGUAGUCCACGCUGUAAACGAUGGGUACUAGGUGUAGGAGGUAUCGACCCCUUCUGUGCCGCAGUUAACGCAAUAAGUACCCCGCCUGGGGAGUACGGCCGCAAGGCUGAAACUCAAAGGAAUUGACGGGGACCCGCACAAGCGGUGGAGCAUGUGGUUUAAUUCGACGCAACGCGAAGAACCUUACCAGGGCUUGACAUCCCUCGCCAGUCAUGGAAACAUGAUGUUUUACCCUUCGGGGUAAACGAGGAGACAGGUGGUGCAUGGUUGUCGUCAGCUCGUGUCGUGAGAUGUUGGGUUAAGUCCCGCAACGAGCGCAACCCCUACUUUUAGUUGCCAGCAUUUCGGAUGGGCACUCUAAAGGAACUGCCGGUGACAAACCGGAGGAAGGUGGGGAUGACGUCAAAUCAUCAUGCCCUUUAUGUUCUGGGCUACACACGUGCUACAAUGGCCGGUACAGAGGGUAGCGAAGCCGUGAGGUGGAGCCAAUCCCAAAAAGCCGGUCUCAGUUCGGAUUGCAGGCUGCAACUCGCCUGCAUGAAGUCGGAAUCGCUAGUAAUCGCGAGUCAGCAUAUCGCGGUGAAUACGUUCCCGGGUCUUGUACACACCGCCCGUCACACCACGAAAGUUGGCAACACCCGAAGUCGAUGAGCUAACCGCAAGGAAGCAGUCGCCGAAGGUGGGGCUGAUGAUUGGGGUGAAGUCGUAACAAGGUAACCG
rnacentral:rRNA from 1 species